rnacentral:ncRNA from 18 species
GAAUGAAGACGUUCCACCCGAGCGAGUGAUGAGCGAAACGGUUAAUACUGAUG